UACGGAGGGUGCAAGCGUUAUCCGGAUUCACUGGGUUUAAAGGGUGCGUAGGUGGGCAGGUAAGUCAGUGGUGAAAUCUCCGGGCUUAACCCGGAAACUGCCAUUGAUACUGUGCGACUAGAGUGCAGAAGGGGCAGCUGGAAUUCUCGGUGUAGCGGUGAAAUGCGUAGAUAUCGAGAGGAACACCUGCGGCGAAGGCGGGUUGCUGGGCUGACACUGACGCUGAUGCGCGAAAGCCAGGGGAGCGAACGGG
rnacentral:rRNA from 1 species